ACGGGUGCGUAACGCGUAUGCAACCUACCUUCAACUGGGGGAUAGCCCGGGGAAACCCGGAUUAAUACCGCAUAACACAAUGGAGUCUCAUGGUUUUAUUGUUAAAGAUUUAUUGGUUGAAGAUGGGCAUGCGUUCGAUUAGCUAGUUGGCGGGGUAACGGCCCACCAAGGCGACGAUCGAUAGGGGAGCUGAGAGGUUGAUCCCCCACACGGGCACUGAGAUACGGGCCCGACUCCUACGGGAGGCAGCAGUAGGGAAUAUUGGGCAAUGGAUGCAAGUCUGACCCAGCCAUGCCGCGUGCCGGAUGAAGGCCCUCAGGGUUGUAAACGGCUUUUAUUCGGGAAGAAGAGCAUGGAUGCGUCUGUGUGUGACGGUACCGAAUGAAUAAGCACCGGCUAACUCCGUGCCAGCAGCCGCGGUAAUACGGAGGGUGCGAGCGUUGUCCGGAUUUAUUGGGUUUAAAGGGUGCGUAGGUGGCUUUUUAAGUCAGUGGUGAAAUACAGCCGCUCAACGGUUGAGGUGCCAUUGAUACUGAAAAGCUUGAAACAAGUGGAGGCUGCCGGAAUGGAUGGUGUAGCGGUGAAAUGCAUAGA
rnacentral:rRNA from 1 species